rnacentral:rRNA from 1 species
UCUACGGGAGGCAGCAGUGAGGAUUAUUGGACAAUGGGUGAGAGCCUGAUCCAGCCAUCCCGCGUGAAGGAUGACGGCCCUAUGGGUUGUAAACUUCUUUUGUAUAGGGAUAAACCUACCCUCGUGAGGGUAGCUGAAGGUACUAUACGAAUAAGCACCGGCUAACUCCGUGCCAGCAGCCGCGGUAAUA